UGCGCAAGGCGUGCUUCAUAACAAUGUUAGGAAAGCUGACGCCCUUGAGCCGUGCAGUUCGGAUGUAUUGCGCGGUCAUGACUUCGGUCAUCGAGGCGCGCGUCAUUCGGGCGAUAUAGCCCAUGCCGUAGAGUGCGAUGGUUAGCACCGGCAGAAAGAAGUUGUUGAAGGUCGCAUC
rnacentral:ncRNA from 1 species